GAUGAACGCUGGCGGCGUGCCUAAUACAUGCAAGUCGAGCGAACGGACGAGAAGCUUGCUUCUCUGAUGUUAGCGGCGGACGGGUGAGUAACACGUGGAUAACCUACCUAUAAGACUGGGAUAACUUCGGGAAACCGGAGCUAAUACCGGAUAAUAUUUUGAACCGCAUGGUUCAAAGGUGAAAGACGGUCUUGCUGUCACUUAUAGAUGGAUCCGCGCUGCAUUAGCUAGUUGGUAAGGUAACGGCUUACCAAGGCAACGAUGCAUAGCCGACCUGAGAGGGUGAUCGGCCACACUGGAACUGAGACACGGUCCAGACUCCUACGGGAGGCAGCAGUAGGGAAUCUUCCGCAAUGGGCGAAAGCCUGACGGAGCAACGCCGCGUGAGUGAUGAAGGUAUUCGGAUCGUAAAACUCUGUUAUUAGGGAAGAACAUAUGUGUAAGUAACUGUGCACAUCUUGACGGUACCUAAUCAGAAAGCCACGGCUAACUACGUG
rnacentral:rRNA from 1 species